rnacentral:lncRNA from 1 species
CUCUGCCCUUCCAUUGUGGGUGACAAUGGAUGAGUCAUUUCACUUCUCCUCAUCUCCAGUUGCUUACUGAGGAGGGAGCAUUUAUGUCAGACUCCCUGGCUUACGGUAGGAGAUAGAGCGAGGACAAGCAAACAACAGAAAGCUGUGGAAUGAGAAUGGAGAAACCAGACAGAGCAAGAGAAACUAUGUCAAGACAUCAGAAAAUCAAUAGAAAAAGCUCACUCUCUCCCCCAGAGUGAGCAAACCCUAAAGUACAUGACUCUGGCCUGUGGCCAACCCAUUUGCAUUUUGGCUUUGACCAACAGUGGGCUUUGGAUACCGUGAAUUUUCUUUCUUAUAUGGUCAAAAACUGCCCCUUUAACAGCUCAAUUCUUUGUCUGGGACACUACAAACCUGAACACAGCUCCUCCAGGACCCUCCAUGCAAUAACAGGCAUUCACACACCACAGCAACUCCUGAGGGGCCCCGCAGGCUGUUAUCACCUUACCACCAGAGUGCAGCCCAGACCAAGCACACCAUCUGCAUUCCAACUCCAACUGUGCGAGCCAAGUGCAGACUCCACAGGGUGA